AAUUGAUAGAGCAUGGUUCCAUUCCCUUUGCUGCUGCUGCUAAGUUGGGAGCUGCAGAAUUGAGAGGAGCUUUGGUUCUCAGAUAUCCUAUCAGAGCCAACAGAAAGAGAAUGAAAGAAAGAAUGACAAAAUUGCAGCACAAAAAGAUGGAGGUUAACUACCUAAAGAAGCUAGAAGUGGCAAACUUUUCUUCAACAUCUCUACCACCACCAAGACAAAAUAAGUGCAGUCAAUGCCCUCGAACUUGUGGAAGGUAUAAAAAAUAAAAUGUGAAAAUUAAAAAAUAUCCAUUGUAUUAAAUCCUAAAAAAGGAACAUUGGCAUCUGCCUUGAUGAGCUAUUCAUUU